UACGUAGGGUGCGAGCGUUAAUCGGAAUUACUGGGCGUAAAGCGUGCGCAGGCGGUUUUGUAAGCCAGAUGUGAAAGCCCCGGGCUUAACCUGGGAAUGGCAUUUGGGACUGCAAGGCUUGAGUGCGGCAGAGGAGACUGGAAUUCCUGGUGUAGCAGUGAAAUGCGUAGAUAUCAGGAGGAAUACCGAUGGCGAAGGCGGCU
rnacentral:rRNA from 1 species